CGGAAUUCUAAAAGUCAGGAAUUUAAGAGGAGAAAUUGAUAAUUCCCUUGUAUGGCAACUUAAGCGCGGAAUUCAUUAAAUGACGCACUAAAAAAAAUCGUGAAAAUUGAGGCAUCAAAUUUCCGAGUUUAAUUUUCACCAAAAUAGGCGUCAUUUCAUAAUUUCCAUAGUGCGGGAGUUCAUAUUUUCUAGUGUGCCAAAACUUACAUAAAAAAACAGCACCAAACUUUUCGUUUAAAAAAAAAAAAACAAUGCCAAAAUGUAUUUCACAAUUAUUGUUUGUACAAUGAUCUCUUUUAUGGUUACGCUAGUACAAUGGUAUUAUGAUAAUUUUC
rnacentral:lncRNA from 1 species